rnacentral:lncRNA from 1 species
CACUUAUUUGAGAAGCAAUGGUCUUAUUUCCAAAUGAAAUGUGGUAGGGUUUACUGUAUUUUUUUUAGAAAAGGUGAUGAUCUAUAUUAUACUUACAUCAGAAAACUUGUUUUCAAGUUUUUUUUUGAAUUUCAAGUUUUCUUUGCAUAGUCAAAGCUGUAACACUGUAAGUUUGCCCUUUUUGAAAUGGCAAAAAAAGCCACCAUGGCAAUCACGUAAAGUUCCAGCUUUGCCUUCUAUCAAUUUCUUAUACGAAUAAUGACAAUUUUUUGCUCUGUUUCCUCAGUGAGGUUUUUUUUGUUUGGUUGGUUGGUUGUUGUUUUUGUUUGUUUGUUUGUUUGUUUUAGUCCACUAGCAGACUAGCAUAUUCUUUCUUUUGUUGUACAGGGGGAGCAUUUCUCCAGUAGCAAACAGGAGUUCCUGUUGUAGAUGCUGUCAAAUCAAAAUUAUGUCUCCUCCUAUGAAGAGCCUAAAGUGAGCCAGUAGUCAAGGAUAUACAGUUUGGAUGCCAGGACAGAAGCAGAAGUGUUAUCCUAAAAGACGAGACAUAAGAAUUCAUUAAAAACUGAAAUCAUGGAAUUCCUAGUAUCACCAAAUGAAGACAUACUGAAUGAAUUGUGUCACUACUGUAAUAAUAAGACAUCACUCUGUUAUUGCAUUUUUUAUGUCAUUUUAGACUAUGCGUACUACCCAUGGACCAGCAGGGCAGACACUUCUUCCCGAGAGGACAGGGCAUCCCAAGGUGCUAUCUUAACUUGUAACUGGAGAGAGAACAAUGCUGAGAGCUCAGCUACUGGGAAGGAGAAGAAAGACACUUUGUUUCAGAAGCAGCUUCUGAUGUGCACAGAAGACCCAGAAAAAAUGGAUAUAAAGAUGCUGAAUUAA